CUUUGAAAAAAAAAUCAUCAUGAAUUUUGGCGCAAAAAAAACGCCUUACUAUACUAUGUCGAAAAAAAAUGCGAUUUUUCAAACAUGUUGUAAAAACGUGCCAUAUGAUGAAAUAAUGUAAAGGACACCGUGAAAAACACUCCAGAAAGGUUUUCUUUGAAAAAAAAUCAUCAUGAAUUUUGGCGCAAAAAAAACGCCUUACUAUACUAUGUCGAAAAAAAAG
ensembl:lncRNA